CUGUAGAGGACACCAUGUUUUCGUGUUGUCUCCCCGUGUGCCGAGACCGAGGCCUCAAGAGAGGCAGCGAUGAGAGUAGGUUCCGACGUGCCCG